GAUGAAGAACGUAGCGAAAUGCGAUAAGUAAUGCGAAUUGCAGAAUUUCCGUGAGUCAUCGAAUCUUUGAACGCACAUUGUGCCCACUGGUAUUCCGGUGGGCAUGCCUGUUCGAGCGUCAUUAUCCUCCCUCAAACCCCGGGUUUGGUGUUGGACCCAAGUUGUGUGAACAACUGGUCUUAAAGACAAUGACGGCGUCCGUGGGACCCUCGGUGCAACGAGCUUUUAGGAGCACGCAUCGAGUUGCAAGGACCUUCCGGGCCGGUCUCCUUUACUAUUUUACAAGGUUGACCUCGGAUCAGGUAGGAAUACCCGCUGAACUUAAGCAUAUCAAUAAGCGGAGGA
rnacentral:misc_RNA from 1 species